rnacentral:tRNA from 1 species
UUAUUAAGGGGGGAUUAAGGGGGGAUCGACACCCCCCUUAUUAAGGGGGAUUAAGGGGGGAUCGACACCCCCCUUAUUAAG